GAAAUGCGAUACUUAAUGUGAAUUGCAGAAUUCAGUGAAUCAUCGAGUCUUUGAACGCACAUUGCACCCCCUGGUAUUCCGGGGGGCAUGCCUGUCCGAGCGUCAUUGCUGCCCUCAAGCACGGCUUGUGUGUUGGGCUUCCGUCCCUGGCAACGGGGACGGGCCCAAAAGGCAGUGGCGGCACCAUGUCUGGUCCUCGAGCGUAUGGGGCUUUGUCACCCGCUCCCGUAGGUCCAGCUGGCAGCUAGCCUCGCAACCAAUCUUUUUAACCAGGUUGACCUCGGAUCAGGUAGGGAUACCCGCUGAACUUAAGC
rnacentral:misc_RNA from 1 species